rnacentral:tRNA from 1 species
GCCCUGGUGGCUCAGAUGGUAAAGCGCCUGUCUGCAAUGCAGGAGACCCGGGUUUGAUCCCUGGAUUGGGAA